rnacentral:rRNA from 1 species
GUGGGGAAUAUUGGACAAUGGGGGGAACCCUGAUCCAGCCAUGCCGCGUGUGUGAAGAAGGCCUUUUGGUUGUAAAGCACUUUAAGCGAGGAGGAGGCUACCGAGAUUAAUACUCUUGGAUAGUGGACGUUACUCGCAGAAUAAGCACCGGCUAACUCUGUGCCAGCAGCCGCGGUAAUACAGAGGGUGCAAGCGUUAAUCGGAUUUACUGGGCGUAAAGCGCGCGUAGGUGGCCAAUUAAGUCAAAUGUGAAAUCCCCGGGCUUAACUUGGGAAUUGCAUUCGAUACUGGUUGGCUAGAGUAUGGGAGAGGAUGGUAGAAUUCCAGGUGUAGCGGUGAAAUGCGUAGAGAUCUGGAGGAAUACCGAUGGCGAAGGCAGCCAUCUGGCCUAAUACUGACACUGAGGUGCGAAAGCAUGGGGAGCAAACAGGAUUAGAUACCCCGGUAGUUC